GGAUGUGAAGGUGAUCUGGUUUAACAUCUGUCACCCCAUUGAUUGCCAGAGUUGAUCUGGAUGAUCUGUCUGGCUAUGUGGGUGUCCUCUUCCUCCCUAACCUCUUUGUAUGUCCCUCUCAAAGCUGUGUGCUCAACUGAAGAGAAUGACUUUGCCAAAAUAGAGAUGAGCCAGUUUUUAGUUGUCUUUGGUUGAGGUUGUACAAGUAGCACUCCCCUGCUAGAACCUCCAAACAAGCUUUCAGGGCUAAUAUACAUUAAGUAAAUAAAUGUGAUUCACCACAUCAACAAAAGGAAAACCAAAAUUAUGU
rnacentral:snRNA from 1 species